GAUCGUAAUGACGACUAUGAAAAAAUCAAGCUCAACAGACCGGAAAACAGGAAUUAAUUUUCUUGUGUGUGUCGAUAUUUCUAAACUGAGCGAUC